AGUGAACGCUGGCGGUAGGCCUAACACAUGCAAGUCGAACGGCAGCACAGUAAGAGCUUGCUCUUACGGGUGGCGAGUGGCGGACGGGUGAGGAAUACAUCUGAAUCUACUUUUUCGUGGGGGAUAACGUAGGGAAACUUACGCUAAUACCGCAUACGACCUACGGGUGAAAGCAGGGGAUCUUCGGACCUUGCGCGAUUGAAUGGGCCGAUGUCGGAUUAGCUAGUUGGCGGGGUAAAGGCCCACCAAGGCGACGAUCCGUAGCUGGUCUGAGAGGAUGAUCAGCCACACUGGAACUGAGACACGGUCCAGACUCCUACGGGAGGCAGCAGUGGGGAAUAUUGGACAAUGGGCGCAAGCCUGAUCCAGCCAUACCGCGUGGGUGAAGAAGGCCUUCGGGUUGUAAAGCCCUUUUGUUGGGAAAGAAAAGCAGCAGGUUAAUACCCCGCUGUUCUGACGGUACCCAAAGAAUAAGCACCGGCUAACUUCGUG
rnacentral:rRNA from 1 species